UACGAAGGGGGCUAGCGUUGCUCGGAAUCACUGGGCGUAAAGGGCGCGUAGGCGGUUCUUUAAGUCAGGGGUGAAAUCCUGGAGCUCAACUCCAGAACUGCCUUUGAUACUGAGGAUCUUGAGUUCGGGAGAGGUGAGUGGAACUGCGAGUGUAGAGGUGAAAUUCGUAGAUAUUCGCAAGAACACCAGUGGCGAAGGCGGCUCACUGGCCCGAUACUGACGCUGAGGCACGAAAGCGUGGGGAGCAAACAGG
rnacentral:rRNA from 1 species